UACGUAGGCAGCAAGCGUUGUUCGGAAUUACUGGGCGUAAAGAGUGUGUAGGCGGUGCUCUAAGUUCGGUGUGAAAUCUCCCGGCUCAACUGGGAGGGUGCGCCGAAAACUGGGGUGCUGGAGCGCGGGAGAGGAAAGCGGAAUUCCUGGUGUAGCGGUGAAAUGCGUAGAUAUCAGGAGGAACACCUGCGGUGUAGACGGCUUUCUGGACCAUAGCUGACGCUGAGACACGAAAGCGUGGGUAGCAAACAGG
rnacentral:rRNA from 1 species